UGUGUAUAUUGGCUCUGUCCUAACUCAGGGGCUUUUCCACCCACGGCUAGGCCACCUGCCGUUGUUACGCCAGCCAGGAUGGGUCCUGUUUCUGGCGGCAUUCAGGGUGAGCCAGAAGGGCCCAGUUCCGGGGUAGACGUAUUUGCCUGGAGUGAGGAGCUGGGUCGGGUGAUGGAGCACAGUCACUGACGCGUGUGGAAAGCCCUUGUUUCCCAGGAAGCGAGUGGAACUUCUCGGUAUUUGAGUUGGGGAAGCUUGAAGUGAGAUUGUGGGGACUAAAUAAUACGGAACCAGGAGGCGUUUGGAGCUAGCCCUAAGCCCGGUAUGUGAGGGCGGUGAGCGGCGGGCAGAGCCAGCAGCCGUUACUUUCCUAGAGUGGCAUCCAUCUGGGGACAGUGUCGAACUGGAGACAGUCCCCUUAGCCAACUGCAGCAGGUCUGAAGCUAGUGGGGAGAGACCGCUGGUGUUGUUCUUGGCAUGCUCAGCACUGAAGUCUGUGAAAGCCUCGGAGGGGGAACUCAAAUCGUGGGGAUAAAGACCUUGUGAACUGCGGAACCUCUAACUGAGCCAUCCGCUCGGACGGCUCACAAGCGGCCCGUUGCCCGGACAGUGUUCUUGGGGUUGCAUACGUGACACUAAACGGGUACAGGUGCCCUUCCUGCAGUCUGAGGGCCCUCCAGACUGAACGAGGGGAGACCUUCCACUGUAGGGAGGGCCUUUCCAGACCAUUGUGCCCCACUGUUUUUCUCUUCCAGGCCAAUAUAUAUUGGCACGUUUCCGUAAGUACAGUACCAAAAGUGGAUGUUACACAUAUCAAAAGCAUUCGGACCACCUGUUGUGAGAGGGGGUUCCGCCAGCCUCGUCAGACGUGCUUGUUGCUGGUUUGGAAAGUCUGUUCCCAACUCAGGUCAUCACAUCCUGUAUAGCAGCUGCUGGUCUCGUUGUUGGGACAGGCAUCAAAAUACAAGGACAUGGUGUACUCAGUGUGUGUUGGUGUCAUCCGGAGGUCGGGCCGGCGAGCAAAGAGCUCAUCAGUCCGUGCAGGACAGUCCCGUUUCUGAGCUCUGUGGGCAGGCUCGACGGACUUUGGCCGCUCACCGCAGGCUGGAGUUGCUCCAGCUUUCAGAUGCCUGCAGGCCGCGCCCGGCUGGUGAUGUCAAGCAAGACCCGGCCUUGGGGCUCCUACAGCGGAGAGGGGAGCUUGGGCUCUGUCUUGUUCCCUUGCUUGUUCUGAAAUGAAAAGACAGCCCGUUUUCCCCUCCAGUCUCCCAUGCACAGCUGGGCGCAAGUCUCUUGGCCUUGUGUCUGCGGGAGCCCAGCCAUGGCCAUCUGGAUCCUCUGGUGUUCUGUCUGUCCUUUUUCACUAGCCUGCCUGAGCCACCCUGCUUAUCCUGGUGCACUAAGGUUAAGCAGCUCUUUUGUGUCUUUGUCCAUUACAGUGCAAAUCAUUUUUCAGUUGCUUGUUUUUAGACUGAUUAGACCAACCUUUCCUCCAGUUCCCAGCUGAGUCCGGGUGACCUUGGGCCCACGCACUUUAUUUUGCGCACAUGCACACACACACAUUCAUGCAUUUCCUCUUUCCCGGUUUCCAUCCUGGCGUGGCAUUUUGGGCCCUUCCUGUUGUGGAUGAUUCUCAUAAUUUUGACUGUCUGAGAGUAUUUUUCAGGCAUUCUUCGGUACUGAAGAGGGUCAGAAGGAAGUGCUGGCAGUCAUCCCAGUAGGGAGAUGGGUCUGAAAGAUAGAGGCCAGGAGAAGGUCAGAGCUUGAGGCUUCUCUGAAAGGAAUGAGGUGCGGUGUUUCCAGCUGAGAUCAGUGGAGGAGAAAGGCUGGUAAAAUGUGACAGGCAAUUGCUCUGGCCCUGGUGCGCCUCCCGGGUCAGCGCGGAGAGGCGUCUGGAGAUGGGAUGAGCAGAGGGGAUUGACAAGCCACAAGGCAGCUCACCCCCACGGGGGACUUAAGCUCUGUUAUUAACUCCUUAAUAAAAACUUCUUCCUCUUCA